rnacentral:rRNA from 1 species
CCUACGGGAGGCAGCAGUAGGGAAUCUUCCACAAUGGGCGAAAGCCUGAUGGAGCAACGCCGCGUGGGUGAAGAAGGUCUUCGGAUCGUAAAACCCUGUUGUUAGAGAAGAAAGUGCGUGAGAGUAACUGUUCACGUUUCGACGGUAUCUAACCAGAAAGCCACGGCUAACUACGUGCCAGCAGCCGCGGUAAUACGUAGGUGGCAAGCGUUAUCCGGAUUUAUUGGGCGUAAAGGGAACGAAGGCGGGCUUUUAAGUCUUAUGUGAAAGCCGUCGGCUUAACCGGCGUAGUGCUUGGGAAACUGGGAGACUCGAGGGCAGAAGAGGAGAGUGGAACUACAGGUGUAGGGGUGA